CAUAUCAAGUCAAAUCACUGGUUUUUGUACAAUCACCGAAGUUAAGCAAUGUCGAACCUGGUUACUACUUAGAUGAGUAACCACUUGGGAAUACCAGGUGCUGUAAG